GACGAACGCUGGCGGCGUGCUUAACACAUGCAAGUCGAACGGUAAGGCCCUGCUUUUGUGGGGUGCUCGAGUGGCGAACGGGUGAGUAACACGUGAGUAACCUGCCCUUGACUUUGGGAUAACUUCAGGAAACUGGGGCUAAUACCGGAUAGGAGCUCCUGCUGCCUGGUGGGGGUGGGAAAGGUUCGGCGGUGGGGGAUGGAAUCGCGGCUUCUCAGCUUGUUGGUGGGGGGGUGGCUUACUAAGGCUUCGACGGGUAGCUGGCCUGAGAGGGUGACCGGGCACAUUGGGACUGAGUUACACCGCAGGCACCAGCGGGGGGCAGCGGUGGAGAAGAGUGAACAUGGGGCGGAAGCGUGAUGCGGCAGCGCGGGGUGUGGGAGGUCGGACUUCGGGUUGUAAACGGCUAAGCCGUGUGACGAGGCGUGGGGGACGGUAUGGGUAAAGGAAGGACCGGCUAACUACGG
rnacentral:rRNA from 1 species